rnacentral:lncRNA from 1 species
UGGUUAACAUGCAAGCUCCAUAAGAUACAUUCUUUAAACGAUUAUGAGGAGAAAGAACACCAGCAAAGUUGGCAGAUGCCAUAAGACUGGAUUGCUGUUGAGACUCUGAAAUUUGUAUCUGUUGAAGCAGCAGCAUGAGUUGUGAAUAUUUUGAUCUUUAGUUAAACCAGGAAUCAAAGAUUCUAACUCAGAGGACCCCUGAGUACUAUCAGCAUUGUUUGGAGACC